GCAGGCCUGGUGUAGUUGGUUAUCACGUCAGUCUAACACACUGAAGGUCGCCGGUUCGAGUCCGGCGGUCUGUA
rnacentral:tRNA from 1 species